GUGCUGCUUCAGCAGCACAUAUACUAAAAUUGGAACAAUACAGAGAAGAUCAGUGUGGCCCCUGCACAAGGAUGACAUGCAAAUUUGUGAAGCAUUCCAUAUUUUU
ensembl:snRNA U6 U6 spliceosomal RNA